GUCCACGCCCUAAACGAUGUCGACUGGUUGUUGGGGGUUUGACACUCUCAGUAACGAAGCUAACGCGUGAAGUCGACCGCCUGGGGAGUACGGCCGCAAGGUUAAAACUCAAAGGAAUUGACGGGGACCCGCACAAGCGGUGGAUUAUGUGGAUUAAUUCGAUGCAACGCGAAAAACCUUACCUACCCUUGACAUGUCCGAGAGCCCGAAGAGAUUUGGGUGUGCCCGAAAGGGAAUCGGAACACAGGUGCUGCAUGGCUGUCGU
rnacentral:rRNA from 1 species